UCGGGUAUGGUGUAACGGCUAACAUUGCCGCCUCUCAUAUUGUAGUAUCUCAGUAGUAAGAUCCGCGGCAGCUCGGGGUUCGAUUCCCCGUACCCGAA